GCAAGUCGAACGGGCUAGUGCUUCGCACUAGUCUCUUUCUGGGGUUGUUACUCUAAGGCUACCUGCUAAAGUAUUGCUUUAAAGCAGGGGUUUUAGGAGACUUUCUCCCGAAAGGGGCCAGUGCGGAGCACUGGCCAGUGGCGAACGGGUGAGUAACACGUGGGUAAUCUACCCUCGAGUGGGGAAUAAGCUUCCGAAAGGGGGUCUAAUGCCGCAUAACGUUUCAUAACGAUGGUUAUGAAACCAAAGCCCAAAAGGCGCUCGAGGAGGAGCCUGCGUCCUAUCAGCUUGUUGGCAGGGUAAUGGCCUACCAAGGCUAUGACGGGUAGCCGGCCUGAGAGGGUGUCCGGCCACACUGGAACUGAGACACGGUCCAGACUCCUACGGGAGGCAGCAGUGGGGAAUUUUGCGCAAUGGGGGAAACCCUGACGCAGCGACGCCGCGUGGAGGAUGACGGCCUUCGGGUUGUAAACUCCUGUCAGAAGGGACGAAAUCCCGCAAGGGACUGACGGUACCUUCAGAGGAAGCCCCGGCUAACUACGUG
rnacentral:rRNA from 1 species